rnacentral:rRNA from 1 species
AUUGAACGCUGGCGGCAGGCCUAACACAUGCAAGUCGAGCGAGCGGCGGACGGGUGAGUAAUGUAUGGGGACUGCCCGAUAGAGGGGGAUAACUACUGGAAACGGUGGCUACUACCGCAUACUAUCGGAUAACCCAUAUGGGAUUAGCUAGUAGGUGGGGUAAAGGCUCACCUAGGCGACGAUCGCUAGCGGGUCUGAGAGGAUGAUCAGCCACAAGGGGACUGAGACACGGCCCAGACUCCUACGGAGGCAGCAGUGGGGAAUAUUGCACAAUGGGCGCAAGCCUGAUGCAGCCAUGCCGCGUGUAUGAAGAAGGCCGUAGGGUUGGAAAGUACGUUCAGCGGGGAGGCGGUAGAUGGAGAAGAAGCACCGGCUAACUACGUGCCAGCAGCCGCGGUAAUUC